ACACUUUGAGAACCACUGCCCUACGUUAAGGAGCACGGCAGAUGUCUCUUGAGUCCCCCCGGAAGGCAGAGAGGGCUGGAGGUGAAAGGGAGCGCAGAGUGCCUGGGGUGUGAUCUCAUUUCACCGAGGAGGAAACCCAGAUCCAGAUGGGCUGAGUGACUAGCUCACCGGUCACCUCUGAAAUUCCGAGCAGCAGGGGAGCCAGGGAGGCUCACUCUGCUGCGUCUUUGGAGCCAGGCCGGGAGAGACAAGCCGGGAGGACUUCGAGAAGCAGGUGACGCUACCCCGAUUCCUCAGGCCCUGCACUGCUGAAGAUCAACAGCGGACCUUCACCCAGAGAGGACACCGUGCAGCUGUCCCCUUGCUGGGACCACUCAAGGACCAAGGCAAAGAUGGAAGCCACAGCCCUGCCUGGACAUUGCAGAGACUCCACUGCAGACCAAAAGGCACAGUUCCUUUCCUGGUUGGCUUACUCCAUUGCUGACCUUCAGCAUCUUCAUGUGAGGUCAAUGAAUAGGAGGUACUUUCCAUCUUUUUGAUGACCUAGGAAAUCUGAACUCUGAUUUUAAAAAAUGAAUAAAUAAAAGGAGGAAGAGGUAGAAAAAGUUAAAAUAUCUUCAGAGGCAUUAACGUUCACUUGAAACUCUCUCCACCAUUUCCCACUUCUCCAGCAAAUUCUCUCAAGUAGCUUGGAGGAUAUUCCUAAAGUCCUAGAAGAGGAGCCAACAUGGCUGAGCUCCAUUCUGAUGUAUGCAGAGUAUUGAGUCUGCUUAAUGAUCCCUUAUGUUUCUCUAGUAUUUCUCACCCUCUGAAAGGCUCUCACAAAUGUUUUCUCACUGUGUGCCAGCAAUUCUCCUGCAAAGGAACUUCCUUCUGAUUGGCUGGAAUGUGGGUGUGAUGGCCAGAACUCAAGAAGCCAUUUUGAACCAAGAGGUAGAGUUAGUUGCUGACAAAGCAUCAAAAUAGAAGUUUCCUGGGUACUUGAUAAUUGAUGAACUGCUUUGCCAAUUCUAGUCUGUUUCUCUCCAGACUUACUUUAUAUGAGAGAGAAAUAAAUGUACAUCUUGUUUAAUAUGGGAUUUGAUAGUUGGAAAUGGCUUUUGGCAUGUCACAGAAACUAAAUUACUAGUAAUGGUUUAUUGGAAAUGGUAAAGAUAUUACAGAUUGAAGAUAUGAUGAUCUCUGUUAUGCAGCAGCAAAAUGCCUGGUUAAAGUGUCUCUUGCUGGACCCUGAAAGGCUGUAAUGCAAACUGAGACUCUACCACCUCCCACUACGAAUUCUCUGCCAGACUGUGUGUUAUGGGUUGAAUUUUGUCUUCCAAAAAGAGAUGUUGAAGUCCUAACUCUCAGUACCUUCGAAUGUGACCCUACUUAGAAACAGGGUUGUUGCAGAUGGAAUUAAUUAAAUUAAGAUGAGGUCAUCCUGGAAUAGGGCUAGUCACUAAUGCAAUAUGACUGGUGUCCUUGUAAGAAAGAGAAAAGAGACACAGGGACAGAGACACAAGGGGGAGAAGGCCAUGUGAAGACAGAGGAGGCAGGGAUUGGACUGAUGCACCCACAAGCCAGAAAUGCCAAUGGUUACUGGCAAAUACCAGAAGCUGGGAAAAAGCAAGGACAAUUCUGCCCUACAGAUUUCAGAGGGAACAUGGCCCUGCUGACACUUUGAUUACAGGCCUCCUGUCUCCAGAACUGUGAAGCAACACAUUUCUGUUGUUUUAAGCCACCUAGUUUCUGCUUCUUUGUUACAGCAGCCCCAGGAUAUGAAGACACCAGGAAGCCAGCCUACUAUCAAAAAUCAGCUAAAGGAACAUAUAGCAACUGUUAAAAAAGCUGAAAAAGAAUCCAGACUUCAACUAGACAUAUGAAUGAAGCAGAUGUGGUUACGACUAGGGCAAAUUGGGCCAAAGGAUAAAGGACAAUACUGACU